rnacentral:tRNA from 1 species
GCCUGUUUAGCUCAGUUGGUUAGAGCACCUGUCUCAUACGCGGGGGGUCACUAGUUCGAAUCUAGUAGCAGGCA